GACGAACGCUGGCGGCGUGCUUAACACAUGCAAGUCGAACGAAAAGACGGAAAGAGCUUGCUCUUUUCAGAAUUGAGUGGCAAACGGGUGAGUAACACGUAAACAACCUGCCUUCAGGAUGGGGACAACAGACGGAAACGACUGCUAAUACCGAAUAAGUUCCAAGGGCCGCAUGGCCCAUGGAAGAAAAGGUGGCCUCUACCUGUAAGCUAUCACCUGAAGAGGGGUUUGCGUCUGAUUAGCUGGUUGGAGGGGUAACGGCCCACCAAGGCGACGAUCAGUAGCCGGUCUGAGAGGAUGAACGGCCACACUGGAACUGAGACACGGUCCAGACUCCUACGGGAGGCAGCAGUGGGGAAUCUUCCGCAAUGGGCGAAAGCCUGACGGAGCAACGCCGCGUGAGUGAUGACGGCCUUCGGGUUGUAAAACUCUGUGAUCCGGGACGAAAAGGCAGAGUGCGAAGAACAAACUGCAUUGACGGUACCGGAAAAGCAAGCCACGGCUAACUACGUGCCAGCAGCCGCGGUAAUACGUAGGUGGCAAGCGUUGUCCGGAAUUAUUGGGCGUAAAGCGCGCGCAGGCGGCUUCCCAAGUCCCUCUUAAAAGUGCGGGGCUUAACCCCGUGAUGGGAAGGAAACUGGGAAGCUGGAGUAUCGGAGAGGAAAGUGGAAUUCCUAGUGUAGCGGUGAAAUGCGUAGAGAUUAGGAAGAACACCGGUGGCGAAGGCGACUUUCUGGACGAAAACUGACGCUGAGGCGCGAAAGCGUGGGGAGCAAACAAGAUUAGAUACCCUGGUAGUCCACGCCGUAAACGA
rnacentral:rRNA from 1 species